rnacentral:misc_RNA from 1 species
GUCAGGUUUAUUACAACCCUCAUCAGCACAAAAUUGGCUAAGCUCCCAAGGUGGUUCAUCAGGUCUUAUUGUGAAGAGAACCAUCAGAGUAGAUGUUCCUGUCGACAACUUCCCUAAUUAUAACUUUGUCGGCCGCCUCCUUGGACCUAGGGGAAACUCUCUCAAGCGAGUGGAGGCAAGUACUGAUUGUCGAGUUUUGAUUAGAGGGCGUGGUAGCAUUAAGGAUCCAGCUAGGGA